GACGAACGCUGGCGGCGGGCUUAACACAUGCAAGUCGAACGGAAAGGCCCUGCUUGUGUCUGGUGCCCGAGUGGCGAACGGGUGAGUAACACGUGAGUAACCUGCCCUUGACUGUGUGAUAACUUCAGGAAACUGCGGCUAAUACCUGAUAGGAGCUCCUGCUGCAUGGUGGGGGUUGGAAAGCUUCGGCGGUUGGGGAUGGACUCGCGGGUUACCAGCUUGUUGGUGGGGUAGUGGCUUACCAAGGCUUUGACGGGUAGCCGGCCUGAGAGGGUGACCGGGGACAUGGGGACUGAGAGACGGCGCAGACGGGUAUGGGAGACAGCAGUGGGGAGUAUGGCACAAUGAGGGGAAGUGUGAUGCAGAGGCGCUGGGUGCGGAAUGCCGGCCUUCGGGUUGUGAACCGCAUUAAGCUAUGACGAAGCUUGAUUGACGGUACUGGGUAAAGAAGCACCGGCUAACUACGUG
rnacentral:rRNA from 1 species